CUACGGGGGGCAGCAGUGGGGAAUAUUGCACAAUGGGCGCAAGCCUGAUGCAGCCAUGCCGCGUGUAUGAAGAAGGCCUUCGGGUUGUAAAGUACUUUUAGCGGGGAGGAAGGGAGUAAAGUUAAUACCUUUGCUCAUUGACGUUACCCGCAGAAGAAGCACCGGCUAACUCCGUGCCAGCAGCCGCGGUAAUACGGAGGGUGCAAGCGUUAAUCGGAAUUACUGGGCGUAAAGCGCACGCAGGCGGUUUGUUAAGUCAGAUGUGAAAUCCCCGGGCUCAACCUGGGAACUGCAUCUGAUACUGGCAAGCUUGAGUCUCGUAGAGGGGGGUAGAAUUCCAGGUGUAGCGGUGAAAUGCGUAGAGAUCUGGAGGAAUACCGGUGGCGAAGGCGGCCCCCUGGACGAAGACUGACGCUCAGGUGCGAAAGCGUGGGGAGCAAACAGGAUUAGAUACCCCCGUAGUC
rnacentral:rRNA from 1 species